GUGGGGCGUAGUGGUUUGAGUGUUGGACCAUGACUCUGGAGGCCAGGGUUCAAAUCCCUGCUGAGACA